GCGGCCUAUCAGCUUGUUGGUGAGGUAAAGGCUCACCAAGGCGACGACGGGUAGCCGGCCUGAGAGGGCGACCGGCCACACUGGGACUGAGACACGGCCCAGACUCCUACGGGAGGCAGCAGUAGGGAAUAUUGGGCAAUGGGCGAAAGCCUGACCCAGCGACGCCGCGUGAGGGAUGAAGGUCUUCGGAUUGUAAACCUCUUUCAGUAGGGAAGAGGCGAAAGUGACGGUACCUAAAGAAGAAGCACCGGCUAACUAUGUGCCAGCAGCCGCGGUAAUACAUAGGGUGCAAGCGUUGUCCGGAAUUAUUGGGCGUAAAGAGCUCGUAGGUCGUUUGUCGCGUCGAUUGUGAAAAUCUGAGGCUCAACCUCAGACCUGCAGUCGAUACGGGCAAACUAGAGUGUGGUAGGGGAGACUGGAAUUCCU
rnacentral:rRNA from 1 species